AACGAACGCUGGCGGCGCGCUUAACACAUGCAAGUCGAACGAGAAGGCGUAGCAAUACGCUUGUAUAGUGGCGAACGGGUGAGGAAUACGUGGGUGACCUACCCUCGAGUGGGGAAGUAACCCGCCGAAAGGCGGGCUAAUGCCGCGUACGCUUCCGUCCUCGCGGGGACGGAAGGAAAGUCAUGCCGUGGGCAUGGCGCUCAAGGAUGGGCUCGCGUCCUAUCAGCUUGUUGGAGGGUAACGGCCUACCAAGGCUCCGACGGGUAGCUGGUCUGAGAGGACGAUCAGCCACACUGGCACUGCGACACGGGCCAGACUCCUACGGGAGGCAGCAGUGAGGAAUAUUGCGCAAUGGGCGAAAGCCUGACGCAGCGACGCCGCGUGGGGGAGUGAAGGUC
rnacentral:rRNA from 1 species